CACGGCCUAUCAGCUUGUUGGUGGGGUAGUGGCCUACCAAGGCGACGACGGGUAGCCGGCCUGAGAGGGUGACCGGCCACACUGGGACUGAGACACGGCCCAGACUCCUACGGGAGGCAGCAGUGGGGAAUAUUGCGCAAUGGGCGGAAGCCUGACGCAGCGACGCCGCGUGGGGGAUGACGGCCUUCGGGUUGUAAACCUCUUUCAGCAGGGACGAAGCCGGAAGGUGACGGUACCUGCAGAAGAAGCACCGGCCAACUACGUGCCAGCAGCCGCGGUAAUACGUAGGGUGCAAGCGUUGUCCGGAAUUAUUGGGCGUAAAGAGCUCGUAGGCGGUUUGUUGCGUCGGCUGUGAAAUCCCGAGGCUCAACCUCGGGUCUGCAGUCGAUACGAGCAAACUAGAGUGUUGCAGGGGAGACUGGAAUUCCUGGUGUAGCGGUGAAAUGCGCAGAUAUCAGGAGAACACCGGUGGCGAAGGCGGGUCUCUGGGCAACAACUGACGCUGAGGAGCGAAAGCGUGGGGAGCGAACAGGAUUAGAUACCCUGGUAGUCCACGCCGUAAACGUUGGGCGCUAGGUGUGGGGCUCAUUCCACGAGUUCCGUGCCGCAGCUAACGCAUUAAGCGCCCCGCCUGGGGAGUACGG
rnacentral:rRNA from 1 species